UGGCGGCUUUAGCGCGGUGGUCCCACCUGACCCCAUGCCGAACUCAGAAGUGAAACGCCGUAGCGCCGAUGGUAGUGUGGGGUCUCCCCAUG
rnacentral:rRNA from 1 species